CUUCUGCCCAUCCUGGAGGAUGAGGAGCCAGAGAGGAAGCUGAACACACAGCUCCAGCAGAGGGAGGGUGGAGCAAUACAUUCUCAUACACAAAAACAACACGCAUCACCCAUGUGAGAUAUACAGCCGGUGGCGGUAAUAUAUAUAUAUAAUACUGCUGAGGAGUCAGUGGCCAUUAACAAGAAGAAGAAGAAGAAGAAGAAGAUUGCUUAGUCACAGUUCUGUGUCCCUGGGGAAGAUGGUUGGAGGAGAUCGUGGAUACGAGCAGCCGAGCACACACUUCGGUGAGUAUGGAGGAGGAUGGAAGGAGUCCGGGAAUGGGAGACGCCGGAGACACGGAGGAUCAGGAGAGACGAAGGAACAACAAUGCAUGGUGAAGUGUGUGCUUUUAUGCUGCAGUGAUAUUGAGGUGAUGAUGAUCAGGUGUGGGUAAUUAGUACUCUGGUGAUAGAGAUCUCUGUGACUGGGUGGUGAUGGAGCAUGGCCGAUCUCUGACAAUAAUGGCAGUGAACAGGGUUCACGAGUAUGCGCUGAAGAAAGUGUCUCCCUCCACAUCCAUCCAUCAUAAACGUACUCCACACAGCUCCAGGGGGUUAAUAAAGGCCUUCUGAAGUGAAGUGAUGCGUUUGUGUAAAAUAAUCUCCAUAUUUAACAAGUUAUGAAGUAAAAUAUCUAGCUUCCACCAGACCGCCUUCCGUAUUCAGUGUACGAAGAAAGCUGCUUCAGGGAAAGGGUUCAAGCCCAUGUGGUUAAAGUGCAUAACAUGUCUGUUAAACACUUCACGCUUUCUUAAUCUGAGUCCCUUUAAAACACCCCAGUGAUGAUGCUCUGUCCAGACAUACUGUAGAAUAACAAGCAUGGCGUGGUCCUAUACCUGAAUACUUCAUUUGCAUGCUUUGUUUAAGGUCGCCUCCCUGGUGCUUUGUCUCUAUCCAUAAGCACGGCCCCCUAAAAUGUAUAUAAACUUCAAUGUACACUGCCUUAGUUAGACUUGAUGACUGCAGCUACCGACAGCACGUGUUCUCAAUAAAGAAUCCUGUUGAAGAUACAUCAAAGUCUCCCGGUCUUCUCUUCUGAGAUUUCCAACACUAGCAAUAGGACACACUUGGAUCAGGGAUUGAAUGUUAUUAUGGUUUUUACUCAAAAUGCAAAUGUUAUUUUUAAUAAUAACAUUAUUAUUACUAUUACUUUUAUUCUUUCCCAUAUGUAACAUUUAUGGUGUAUUUACCAGGUGAGAAGUGUGUGUGUGUGUGUGUGUGUGUGUGUGUGUGUGUGUGUUUCAAAGCUUUGUGUACACAGUUUGAUCACUUUUUUUCAAGAGUAAAUCAUAUGGAUGGAAUAAUUGAGAGUUUUUCCUCUUUGAUUUGUACUUUGUAGACAGUCCCUAUUUGCUAUUUUACAUUACUAAAUGUAUAUGUUUGUCACGGACAGAAGGGUAGGAGACAACAGGUUUGCAGAAAUAACUGAGUUUAUUUCCAAACAGCAAGGAAUAACAGAAGUGCAGGUAAGUAAUGGUUAAAUGGAUAUUUGAGAUGGUGAAACAGAAGUGGUAAUACUGUCCUUUCUCUUGCAGGUGGAUGACUCAUGGAUGGUUGAAGGCGAAGUGGUGGAGUGAACUCACGGAGACGGUAGGGAGACACACACACAGAUACUAUGCACGAAGACUGGGAGGCACGCUGGAACGGUAAGGGUAAGUAUUCACAAUGAGCUGGAGCAUUGGAAGAGUAGUCCUUGUAUCAACGAGACCAGACAGUGAACUGAGGUGAGUGCUGUGCUUAAGUGUCUGGUGGUGAUUGUGUGAUGAUGGGGAUCAGGUGUGUGUGUUAGAACUCUGGUGAGGGAGUGCGCUGUGAUUGGCUGAUGGAAGAGCCUGGCGGGUCUGUGACAAUGUUGUGAUACAGCAGAUUAAACACAUAAACUACAUUGUGUGUUCUCUGCUACAUUUAAAACAAUUCAAACACAACCUGUUUUUUUGUUCAUAUGUUAAUCGUUAUUGAUCUAUUGAAGUUUUGAAGCCAUACCUGCAAACUCCAAAGUGGUGAAAUAGGUGACUUGUUUACAAAGUAAAAAAAAGUUUUCGUGAUUUUAACAUUGCAUUCUGGUGCAUUCUGACAAGAAAAUAAGUGGAAAAAACAACAUUUGCUUCAAGUAAAAAAAACAAACAAACAAACAACAACAAAAAAAAACAUUUAUUAACACUAGGGCUGGACAUUGACAAAAAUUUUACAAUUGGAUUAGAUUUUGAUUCAGAAGCUUGCGAUUUGAUUUCGAUUUGAUUACCCUUAAUUCAAUAUUGAUUAAUUUGGGGCCUAUCAGGUACAGUACAUGGCAAAUUUCAACUAUUACAACUAUUGCUGUAAACUAUACAGGGAACCACAGCUGGUACAUCAUUAUAAUAUUAAAGGUUAAAAUUAAUUGAUUUGUAAGCUACUUAUAAAUUACACAUAAAUAAGUUUUAUAAUAAGGUUAUAAUAAAUUUUUAAUGACAUAAUUAUGUUUCUACUCAUUUUUAAUACUGUUCCUACAAACCCGAUUCCAAAAAAGUUGGGACACUGUAAAAAUUGUGAAUAAAAAAGGAAUGCAAUAAUUUACAAAUCUCAUAAACUUAUAUUUUAUUCACAAUAGAAUAUAGAUAACAUAUCAAAUGUUGAAAGUGAGACAUUUUGAAAUGUCAUGCCAAAUAUUGGCUCAUUUUGGAUUUCAUGAGAGCUACACAUUCCAAAAAAGUUGGGACAGGUAGCAAUAAGAGGCCGGAAAAGUUAAAUGUACAUAUAAGGAACAGCUGGAGGACCAAUUUGCAACUUAUUAGUUCAAUUGGCAACAUGAUUGAGUAUAAAAAGAGCCUCUCAGUGUGGCAGUGUCUCUCAGAAGUCAAGAUGGGCAGAGGAUCACCAAUUCCCCCAAUGCUGCGGCGAAAAAUAGUGGAGCAAUAUCAGAAAGGAGUUUCUCAGAGAAAAAUUGCAAAGAAUUUGAAGUUAUCAUCAUCUACAGUGCAUAAUAUCAUCCAAAGAUUCAGAGAAUCUGGAACAAUCUCUGUGCGUAAGGGUCAAGGCCAGAAAACCAUACUGGAUGCCCGUGAUCUUCGGGCCCUUAGAUGGCACUGCAUCACAUACAGGAAUGCUACUGUAAUGGAAAUCACAACAUGGGCUCAGGAAUACUUCCAGAAAACAUUGUCUGUGAAUACAAUCCACCGUGCCAUUCGCCGUUGCCAGCUAAAACUCUAUAGGUCAAAAAAGAAUCCAUAUCUAAACAUGAUCCAGAAGCGCAGGUGUUUUCUCUGGGCCAAGGCUCAUUUAAAAUGGACUGUGGCAAAGUGGAAAACUGUUCUGUGGUCAGACGAAUCAAAAUUUGAAGUUCUUUUUGGAAAACUGGGACGCCAUGUCAUCCGGACUAAAGAGGACAAGGACAACCCAAGUUGUUAUCAGCACUCAGUUCAGAAGCCUGCAUCUCUGAUGGUAUGGGGUUGCAUGAGUGCGUGUGGCAUGGGCAGCUUACACAUCUGGAAAGGCACCAUCAAUGCUGAAAGGUAUAUCCAAGUUCUAGAACAACAUAUGCUCCCAUCCAGACGUCGUCUCUUUCAGGGAAGACCUUGCAUUUUCUAACAUGACAAUGCCAGACCACAUACUGCAUCAAUUACAACAUCAUGGCUGCGUAGAAGAAGGAUCCGGGUACUGAAAUGGCCAGCCUGCAGUCCAGAUCUUUCACCCAUAGAAAACAUUUGGCGCAUCAUAAAGAGGAAGAUGCGACAAAGAAGACCUAAGACAGUUGAGCAACUAGAAGCCUGUAUUAGACAAGAAUGGGACAACAUUCCUAUUCCUAAACUUGAGCAACUUGUCUCCUCAGUCCCCAGACGUUUGCAGACUGUUAUAAAAAGAAGAGGGGAUGCCACACAGUGGUAAACAUGGCCUUGUCCCAACUUUUUUGAGAUGUGUUGAUGCCAGGAAAUUUAAAAUCAACUUAUUUUUCCCUUAAAAUGAUACAUUUCCUCAGUUUAAACAUUUGAUAUGUCAUCUAUGUUGUAUUCUGAAUAAAAUAUUGAAAUUUGAAACUUCCACAUCAUUGCAUUCUUUUUUUAUUCACAAUUUGUACAGUGUCCCAACUUUUUUGGAAUCGGGUUUGUACUCAUUUUUAAUAUCGACCUAAACAUUUAAAUGGUGGCUGUCAUAAAACGGUUUUAUUCAUUCAUUCUUCAAGUACAUGAAUAUGCAAUGGCCUAUAGUCACAUAUCAAAAUGCUCCUCUCUAAGUUCAUUUUUGUAGCUGACUAACACGUUUUUUGACAUUGAACAGCUUUUCUGAGGUAAAUGUUAUGGUUAAUGUGGAAUUUUUACAAACUAUUUUAUUGCCGUUUUUCCGCGGUUGAAACAAUGGAGGAAUUGAUCGAUUAACAUUACAUAUGACAUGAUACGGAUUUCAGUAAGUUGUACUGGAUCUUUCAACGCCAAAAAAGAUCACGACGUCUAUGGUAGCACUCUAGUCUAUGGGAAAGUAGCCCAUUUUCGAUUCUUGUGAGGUUUAUUGUAACUGCAAACUCACCCUGACACGCCCCACCCCCGAGAACAAAAAAACUCUUCAGAUCUACACUGUUCACAUAAAUGACAUAUUUUGAUUCAAAACGGCGAGUUUCGCCAAAAAGCGACUAGUUUGCAGGUAUGGAAGCUGACGAAUGUCAAACGUCCAACAUCAGACCAACUUUAUAUCGGUGUAUUGUGAGUCAGUGAACGGAAAAGAAUUAAAAAAGGAAGACAUUCACAGACAAAUGUCGUUUAUUCAUGCGGCUGCUAUAAAUGUCUGAGAAUGACGUCACAUGUAUUAAUGAUAAACGAUGAAGAUCAGCGAUGUUUGAUGCUGGAAAGACUUUCUGAACACAAAUGAUGUGCAACAAAACACUAUUUCAUGGAGUCUGUAAUUAUUGACCAGUGAUAGGCUUUGUCUUUUCCAUCGCGCUGAUCAAAACUUCUCUUUCUGCAGCUCUUCAUUAAAAUCACACCUGUUUUGAUCCUCCAUUUUAAUCUGGAGCGUUUCUUCACAGCAGCUGCUCUUGGUAACAGACCUGAGAGUCGAUCACCGAAAUGAUGGAUGCUUUAAGAUUUCACAACUACAGAUGAGAUUCUGUGAGAGAGGAGAAGAUCCUAAAUCAAGUUCAGAUCUGAGAAAAAUCCUAAAUUAACUCGUCAGACCUGAACUCAAGACUGAAGAUAGAAAGUUAAAUCCAGACGAGAGCAAAGCAUGCUGGGAACUAAACAUCCACUUCUCAGUUUCAGUUCAUUCAACACAAAUGAUAAAGUAAACUUCAUUUUGAUAUAUUUAAGUGGAUUUUACACAAUUAAAUUAGGACAGAAUGUCAGUAAUUGUGUGGUUUUAACUCAUUUUAAUUAAGUUCAUUUAACAAGCAGCAGAAAUCAUGUUUACAGUGUAGAUGGACAGAUUGAUAAUUCCUGAUUGUGAUGUGUUUUAUCUCCAUCAGAUUCCCAUCAGCUCACUCUGGAUCUGAACACAGUGAAUAAACGCCUCCGUCUGUCUGAGAGAGACACAGUGAUUACUAACACUUACCGAGAGCUUCAGUCGUAUCCUGAUCAUCCAGACAGAUUUGAUUAUCAUCAUCACGUGUUGUGUAGAGAUUGUGUGUGAUCGACGCUGUUACGGGGAGAUUGAGUGGAGUGGAGAAUAUGUGUUUAUAUCAGUGUCAUAUAAGAGCAUCAGCAGGAAGGGACGGGGUCAUGAGUGUCGGUUUGAAUAUAAUGAUCAGUCCUGGAGUUUGAACUGCUAUUCCUACAGAUACUUAUUCAGACACAAUAACAUAGAGACUGUUCUCCCUGUAGAGCCCAUCAUCAGCAGGAGAACAGGAGUGAAUAAUGUGGAUCACUAUAGAGCAGGAGUGUAUGUGGAUCACAGUGCAGGAACUCUGUCCUUCUACAGCGUCUCUGGAGACACAGUGAUCCUCAUCCACACAGUCCAGACCACAUUCACUCAACCGCUCUAUCCUGGGUUUAAUGUUUAUCUUACUGGAUCAUCAGUGAAACUGUGUUGAUGAAUCAGAACAGACUGACGAGAGAUUCUACCCAUAAUGCUUUGAGCUCAUGAUGAAUCAGUGACAGUGAGAUGUUAUAGAGUCUCUUCAUUACAUUAAUACUGUCACUGAAAUAUAAUGUCAGAAUAAAUGUGUGUGUGUGGGUCAUGAUGAGUGAUGGUGUGUGUGCGUUUUUGUGAUUUAUGAGGACAUAAAUUUGUAUAAUGACAUGGGUAUUACACUGGUAUUACAACGUAAACAUGAAAUAUGAGGACAUUUCAUGAGUCCUCAUAUUUAAAAUAGCUUUAAAAACAUACUAAACAAUGUUUUAUUAAAAAUGUAAAAAUGCAGACAGUUUCCUGUGAUGGGUAGGUUUAGGGGUAGGGGUAGUGUAGGGGGAGAGAAUGUACAGUUUGUACAGUAUAAAAACCAUUAUGUCUAUGGAAUGUCCCCACAAUUCAUAUUGUGUGUGUGUGUGUGUGUGUGUGUGUGUGGCAAGGAGAUUUGCAAUUUGUGAACACAGAACAGGACGGAGUAAAAGGGAAACAGUCAAUGACUGUAUAACAUCAGAUUGAUCAAAGAUGCAUCAGAAGAAGAGAGACAGAUGGCAUCAAAUACAGCAUUUUACAUUACAGUGUGUAUGCUAUGUGAUACUGUAAACAGAAUACCAUGGUAGAGUCUGCUACAUUACUGUAACUCACUCUUAUAAAGGUCAACUACAGUAUUCAGUCAUAUGGUACAGUGAGAACAUUUACUGUAUUAUAGCAAACUCUGUUGUACACAAAACCUCAUGACUGUGUCAUACAUCACACCUUUUGAGAAGACUGAAUAAAUACUAUUAAAAACAUUAUGGAUUUUAUGUCAGUUAUGUAAUUUAGGUAAUGUAAGUGUAUUUUCUAAUGUCAUCUGUAUCCUGUGUAAUUAUUUCGGCAUCAAGGGUGAUUUGAAACAUGUAUCUUACAUUGUUUGUUAUUGAAUGAACUGAAUGUUAAAAGUGCUAAACUGAAAGAAGAUCAUACUGUUGUGUUUCUGUGAUU